rnacentral:rRNA from 1 species
CCUUCGGGAGGCAGCAGUGAGGAAUAUUGGUCAAUGGGCUUACGCCUGAACCAGCCAAGUCGCGUGAGGGAAGACUGCCCUAUGGGUUGUAAACCUCUUUUGUCAGGGAGCAACGCCGGCUACGUGUAGCCGGACUGAGAGUCCCUGAAGAAAAAGCCUCGGCUAACUCCGUGCCAGCAGCCGCGGUAAUACGGAGGAUGCGAGCGUUAAUCGGAAUUACUGGGCGUAAAGCGCUCGUAGGCGGUAUGUCAAGUCAAGGGUGAACUCCCCGGGCUCAACGUGGGAACUGCCUUUGAAACUGGCAAACUGGAGUGUGGGAGAGGAUAGUGGAAUUCGAGGUGUAGGGGUGAAAUGCGUAGAUAUCUGGAGGAACAUCAGUUGCGAAGGCGACUAUCUGGCACAUAACUGACGCUGAGGAGCGAAAGCGUGGGUAGCAAACAGGAUUAGAUACCCUGGUAGUC